AGCGGCUGUGCGGACUGUGUGCUUGCGCGCAAGGACGUACAGACAUUUGGCAGCCAAGCCGGUAUGAGGAAGCAGGCCCACAGGCCGGAUUCCGAAUACCGGAGGCAGCUGCGGGAGCACGAAGUGCAAAGCAGCU
rnacentral:sRNA from 1 species